GUUCAGUGCAGUUUGGAGUACCUAGUAUGUAAAAGAAGUGGAGGUCUGGCUUCCUGUCCAUACACUGUCACCAUAUUUGGACAGUUGUUCCAUCUGUUAAGACUCAACUGGGAGCAGCCAGCCUGUCUUUGUUGCAUCAGAAUCUCAAAAGGAAGUCUGUGGCAUCGGCAAACAGUGUAUCAGGAGAUGCAGAGGAGCUUAAGAUUUAGAAAAGGACAGGAAGAGCCACCCAGCCAGGCUGACCGGAGCAACCCCAGAACAGGAAAUGGAAGCACGAAUGCAUCCUACCCAAACGUGACAUCUGGAAAGAAGGGGAGAAGAAGGAAAUGAUGGGGAAAUCGAGAACACAUUAGCUUGCAAAAGUGAAGAGUCAUGGAAGUUUCCAUUAUGCUAUCAAAGGAACGAGGACUGGAGAUGGCUCAGUGUUCAAGAGCAUUUGUUCUUCCAGAGGAUCAGAGUUCAGUUCCCAGCAUCCGCAUGGUGGCUCCCAACCAUCCAGUCCAGGGGAUCUUGUACCUUCUGGUAUACAUAUAAGCAUAUAAGUAUUCAGGCAAAAUACUCAUACAGAUAAAUGAAAUGUCAAAAAAAAAAAAAAACAACAAUGACAAAAACCAACCAACCAAACAAAACCAGCGACACAUAUACAAUGUUUUAAAUAUCUCAAAGGAAAGAAGAGUAUACUUUUUCAGAGGGGAG